rnacentral:rRNA from 1 species
UACGUAGGGGCUAGCGUUGUCCGGAAUCAUUGGGCGUAAAGCGCGUGUAGGCGGCCCGAUAAGUCCGCUGUGAAAGUCCAGGGCUCAACCCUGGGAUGCCGGUGGAUACUGUCGGGCUCGAGUCCGGAAGAGGCGAGUGGAAUCCUGGUGUAGCGGUGAAAUGCGCAGAUAUCAGGAGGAACACCAAUGGCGAAGGCAGCUCGCUGGGACGUGACUGACGCUGAGACGCGAAAGCGUGGGGAGCAAACAGG